AGGGGUAUAGCUCAAGUGGUAGAGCACAUGCUUAGCAUGCAUGACGUCCUGGGUUCAUUCCCAAGUACCCCCU
rnacentral:tRNA from 1 species